CCGUGCUAGACGGGGAGAUAGCGGUGCCCUGUACCCGCGAUCCGCUCAAGCGGGGUCGAACUCCCUCCCGAGGCCUGUCCCUCUUGGGGUCCUGCCCGUCGCAAGCGGCGUUGAUAGCCGGGUCCUGCGCAACGGGGCUCUGUGAACCCCGUCAGGACCGGAAGGUAGCAGCGGUAAGCAGAUUACCUCGUGUGCCGCGGGGUUGCCUGACUGGAGCUGGCUACGGCGGUUACGCCUGGGAGAGCUUGUCGACGGAGGGUGCACGG
rnacentral:SRP_RNA from 1 species